GUCUUGAGAUACGGAACAGGUUCGGUCGAUAUGACGGAUGAAAAGGGAAUGCGGUGAGGUCUCUCCAGCAGGGACCGAUGCCGCGACUGCCCCCGCAACUGUAACCGCAGAGCUUGCCCCAUGAUGCCACUGCGCCGGCGCGGGAAGGCGGGGAGAGCGAUGACGCGGAAGUCAGGAGACCUGCCUGUCCCGGUCACCCAUG
rnacentral:ncRNA from 2 species